UUGUUUGAAAUUUUAGAUUUAACCUUCACUGCAUUUUCAAGGAAAUGAAUAUUUUCAGUUUACUUUAAGAGGCUCAAAUUGCAGCAAAAGCCACCACUCAGUUCAGUUUCAAUCUAUUGCAUGCAUAGAAUUUAUGUAUGAUAUAAUCCUAAUUAUGCCUGUCCUUCCUGCAUCAGCAUUCUUCAAUUGGACAGUGAUAGCAGAAAACCAAAGGUCUUGAACAGGAUCAGAGAAGAUGGAAGAAUCACCAAUGUUCCAUCUUUUGUCCAAUCAUGUCUGUUACAUACAGUAUGUUAGUUUCUUCUCUGGUUAUGUGGACCACUGUUAGAACCAGGAAAUGCAACUUUGUAAGAGAAGUCUUUGGUGGUAGCAGCCUGCAGAAGCCUUGCGGGACUAUCCCAUUGUGAUCUGACCUGGUCCUGGCUUUGUCCAAGUAAUUGUACUCACAGUAACACUCAUGACCCCAAGAAGUCAUUGAUAAGCCCCAGCACACAAAGUGCAGGGUUAAAAAAGUUUCAAAUUUGAAGUGGGAAAAAAAAUCUGUUA